rnacentral:rRNA from 1 species
AAUCAACGCUGGCGGCGCGCUUAACACAUGCAAGUCGAGCGAGAAAGGGAGCAAUCCCUGAGUACAGCGGCGUACGGGUGAGUAACACGUGGAUAAUCUACCUCUUAGUGGGGAAUAACCCGGGAAACCGGGGCUAACACCGCAUAAUACCGCAAGGUCAAAUGCGCAAGCGAGCUUGAGGAGGGGGUCGCGGUUGAUUAGCUAGUUGGUAGGGUAAUGGCCUACCAAGGCAGUGAUCAAUAGCCGGCCUGAGAGGGCGCACGGCCACACUGGAACUGAAACACGGUCCAGACUCCUACGGGAGGCAGCAGUGGGGAAUUGUUCGCAAUGGGCGCAAGCCUGACGACGCAACGCCGCGUGGA